UAGGGUAUACCUGAGCUAUAACCACCUGUGGGAGUAUCACAGGCAUGUCCUCUUGGCACCGCGGCAUGACACCUUCCGUGGCGGUGUGAUCAGUCCACGGCGUCUCCGUUUUGUGCUCCGUUGGGAGUUGGCCAUUUGGUGUUUUGUUGUGGGAGGCGUAUGGGUCGACCCUAGUUUUCUGUUCUGUGGAUUGGUGAUGUUUGUGCCAAACACGCCUUCCGAUUUUAUAUGCAUUGGAUUCACGGUCCAAUGUGUGUGACUUGCCUGUGUGACAUUAUUUGAUUUGCCUAUGUGGCAUUAUUUGACUUGCCUGUGUGGCAAGGUAUAUUUCUAUUUUAUUCUGAGCUCGGUAUGAAAUAACACCCAGCCAUUUGAUUCAGCCUAUUAUUUCGUUGUGUUAGAUUUGUUCGUUUCGUUUCAGUUCGUUUCGUCUCUUUUCAUUUAAUUGAGUUAGUUAUUUCGGUUCAUUAUUUGUAUUCUAUAUCCGUACUGGGCGUUUGACUCAUGCUGUGUUUUCUUCCGGCAGGUAAUCAGGGGAAUCACGGGCAAGUGUGAUGAGAGCUCCAUUCAUUCCAAUGAUUUAGAAAUAUUCUAUUUAGACUUGAUGUGUCAGUUUACUUGGAAUUGUAAUAACUAUUUUAGAUUGUGGUUUGAGACAGUUGGAGAUUUAUUAUGGUUGACUUGUGGUAUUUAUCAGUUAUUAAGACUAUUUUUUUGUGGCUUUGAGCUUUGCUAUUAAAUUCAUUAGUUUUGUUGUGUUUUGAGUAACCUCUCUUUCUAUUUCGGAAAGGGGGUGUUAUAGUGGGAGAGAAAAUAAGCUUUUCUUUGUAAUUGAAUUGGCAAAUUAAAAAUGAAAGGAAAGCCUCCUAUUUAUAGAUUUUUGAGAUCAGGGACAGAAAAGUAAUUUUCAAAAUUUGAUUUAAAAUUAAUGGUUGAGAUGAUCAAUUUUGAAAUGAACGGUUCGGAUAAAAAAAAAUUCACGCGGUAGAAGCUUGAAUUCCGCCCAGGCAUUUCUUCAUCAACUUUGCAUUUAAUGAUCAAUUUGAAUCCCAGCAUUUAUUUCGGUCAAGGAGGUUGAAUGAAGAAGGAGCACGCGUUUUUAGGAAAUAAAAAUUGUCAGCACACUUUUUCUUUAUAUCAAUCAUUUAUGCCAUUAUACUUAAAUUAUACACAUAUGAGUCAUGCAAUUUAAUGCACACGGUUUUUAAAAAACAAACUUGCCAGCAAUUGCUAGCUCAUGCUUUGAAAAAGGAAAGCCUGCUUGGUAUUAUACAUAUAUAUAAUAUAUAUAAAAUACAUAUAUAAUCCGCUAGAGUUGCUGGGAGGAGAGGUAACAAUAGGGGAAGGGGUGAUGUUCAGCCCAAUGAGCAACCUAAUGAUCAGAUAAAUGCUCAACUAGUUAACUUGGUGAAUCAGGCGGUUAAUCAGGCUUUACCGCAGUUAGUGGCACAGGUUGUACAGGCAAUGUAACAGCCGCCAGAAAUUCCUGAGCAGGGGCACUCGGGAAAUAAUGGUCCACAAACAAACGAAGAGGAAGGAAAUGUGGAUGGCCUUGAUCAGCAGGUGGUCCCAAUGUAUAUGUGGUUGGAGAGGUUUCAGAAGCAGAAGCCACAGUCUUUCAGUUCUGCUCAACUCCAAUUGAUGCGGAAAAUUGGAUUGCUCACCUAGAGAAGAUUUUUGAUGUGUUGGGAUGCUCAGAUAAUCAAAGAGUGUUGCUUGCUGCUUACAAGCUAGAGGGGGAUGCACAGAGGUGGUGGAAAGCACUGAAGACAACAAAGGGUGAUGGCUACGUGGAGACACUUCAUUGGGCAUAGUUUUGUGAGGUCUUUUAUCAGCAGUACUUUCCAGCUGCUGAUAAAGAGGCCUAUGCUAGAGAGUAUCUAUCCAUUCGGCAGAAGGAUGAUGAGUCCAUUACCGAUUCCAUGACCAAGUUCACCAGGUUGGCAGGUUUUGCGGGAACGUCUGCAGGGACUACAGCAAAACAGGCGGAGAAGUUCAAGUGGCGGAUUCAUUAUAGGUAUCCCCAACAUCUCAUUAACACCAAGUUUGCGGAUGUAUCGCCGGUGGCUAAUGAGGCCAAGAACAUUGAGAUGGAGCGGCAGGACUUUCGGACUUCUAAACCGGAAGGGAGUCGAAAGAGGGACAGAGAUGACCAGCAGGGUCAAGCUUCGGGUCAGCAUGGGAGAAAUCAAGGUGGUCAGUGGAACAGAAAUUGUGGUGUUCAGCAGGGGAAGUGGCGUGGUCAGAAUCAGAACAGGGGUUAUCAGCAGAUGCCUCAGCUAGUGCAGAAUCGUCAGCUUCAGUUACCUUGGUAUGGACAAAAUCUUCAGCAGGGACAGAAUCGUCCGCAGGGGCAAAAUCAGGGUCGUUACCCAGGACCAGCUGGUGGGGGUAACCCGAAUCUUAUUCCGAUAGCUUCUUGUGUUACUUGUGGGGCUAAUCAUCCGGAGAGGCAGUGCCACAGACUCACCGGUGCAUGCUUCUUGUGUGGACAGAUGGGUCACAUUGCUAGGGAUUGUACCGGUCCACGCGGAAAUGGUGGAGGUGGUGAUAAUGGUGGCAAUGGAGGUCAACGUCAGGGUGGUCGAGUGUUUUCCUUGACGUAUAACCAGGCGGCAGGUGCACCAGGUACUAUUUCUGGUACUCUUUUAGUUGGAAAUCGUGAGGCGUCUAUUUUGUUUGAUACGGGUUCUACUCAUUCUGUUGUUGCUCAGUCUUUUGUUCGGCACCUGGGUGUGCCAUCUCAGUCUUUGGAUUCUGUUAUGUCUAUUGCUACCCCGAUGGGGACUUUAGUUGUUAUUUCUGAUUUAUAUCGAGGGUGUCCGAUCAGUUUUAGGGAUAAGAUUCGUAGGGUUAAUCUCCUUCUGAUGUGUAUGCACGAUUUCGAUAUCAUUCUUGGGAUGGACUGGUUGGAUAAGCACCGUGCCACUAUCGAUUUUCAGGCGAAGAAGGUUAUAUUUGGAGAUGUGAAGUCUCUGGAGUUCGUGUUUCAGGGUUCACAAUCGAGUAGGGUGUUGAAGUUGAUUUCAGCUUUGAAGGCUGGGAAGUUGGUAGCAAAGGGUUGUGAGGGGUAUUUGGCAUUUGUGAAGGAUACCUCUAAGGGUGAGUCUCAUAUUGAGGAUGUUCCAAUUGUUUGUGACUUUUCAGAUGUGUUUCCUGAGGAGUUGUCAGGGUUGCCACCACAGCGGGAAGUAGAGUUUGCUAUUGAGCUUGUUCCUGGUGCAGAGCCUUUUUCUAAGGCGCCGUAUCGGAUGGCACCAUUGGAGUUGCAGGAGUUGAAGGAGCAGUUGCAAGAACUGUUGGAUCGUGGUGUAAUUCGCCCGAGUGUUUCACCGUGGGGUGCUCCAGUCUUGUUUGUGAAGAAGAAGGAUGGGUCUAUGAGGCUGUGUAUAGAUUACAGAGAGUUGAAAAAGAUUACCAUCAGAAAUCGGUAUCCAUUGCCGAGGAUUGAGGACUUGUUUGACCAACUUCAGGGGGCGAAAUAUUUUUCAAAAAUAGACUUGAGGUCGGGCUAUCAUCAGUUGAGGGUGAGGGAUGAGGAUAUCCCUAAGACGGCUUUUCGUACUCGAUAUGGGCAUUACGAGUUUCUGGUGAUGCCAUUUGGGUUGACUAACGCUCCGGCAAUGUUUAUGGAUUUGAUGAAUCGAGUGUUUAGGGAGUACUUGGACAAUUUUGUUAUUGUUUUUAUUGAUGACAUUUUGGUUUACUCCAAGUCUAAGGAAGAGCAUGAGGAGCAUCUUCGCAUAGUGUUGGGGAUUUUGCAGAAAGAGAAGUUGUAUGCUAAAUUCUCUAAAUGCGAAUUCUGGUUGGAGCAGGUUGCAUUUUUGGGCCACGUUGUUUCUGCUGAGGGCAUUAAGGUGGAUCCUGCGAAGGUUGAGGCUAUCACUAAAUGGCCGAGACCUACUACAGUGACAGAGAUUAGAAGUUUCUUGGGUUUGGCAGGGUAUUAUAGGCGGUUUGUGGAAGGAUUUUCCUUACUUGUCUUGCCAUUGACUUAGUUGAUGAGAAAGGGCGUGAAGUUUGUGUGGAAUGAGGAGCGGGAGAAGAGUUUCGAGGAAUUGAAGAAACGACUCGUGACAGCUCCUAUACUUGCAUUGUCGUCGGGGAUAGAAGGGUACCAGAUUUAUAGUGAUGCUUCUAAGAAGGGCUUGGGGUGUGUUUUGAUGCAACACGGUAAGGUGAUUGCUUAUGCUUCUAGGCAGCUUAAACCUUAUGAGGUGAACUACCCCUCACAUGAUUUGGAGUUGGCAGCGGUGAUCUUUGCCUUAAAGAUUUGGAGGAAUUAUUUGUAUGGGGAGACUUGUGAUAUCUUCACCGAUCACAAAAGUCUUAAAUACAUUUUCACUCAGAAGGAGCUCAAUAUGAGACAAAGGCGUUGGUUGGAGCUUCUAAAAGACUAUGAUGCUAGAAUUCAGUAUCACCCGAGAAAGGCAAAUGUGGUUGCAGAUGCUCUUAGCAGAAAGAGUUUUGGGAAUGUAGCAGCCCUUAUUACACAACCUCAGCUUAUCUCGGAUAUGGAGAGGAUCGAGUUGGAGUUGUAUGUACGAAGUUCAGAUGGGCAUUUGGCAGGUAUGAGAGUGGAGCCCUCUCUUAUCUCGCGGGUCAAAGAAGCUCAAAAGGAAGAUGGGGAGUUAUGGGGUCUGACGCAGAAUUUAGAGGAGGGCAAGUAGCCCGAGUUUCGUAUUGAUGACCACGGUGUGAUUUGGUUGGGUGAGCGGUUGUGUGUACCGUCAGAUCCAAUCAUUUGAGAGGCUGUGUUGGCUGAGGCUCAUAGUUUGCUAUUUUCUAUUCAUCCAGGUUCUACGAAGAUGUAUAGGGAUUUGAAGAAGAAUUUUUGGUGGAAUGGGAUGAAACGAGAUGUGGCUGAGUAUGUUGGGAAGUGCCUCACUUGUCAGCAAGUGAAGAUAGAACAUCAACGAGCUAGUGGCUUGUUGCAACAGUUAGACAUUCCAGUGUGGAAGUGGGAGGAUAUCACGAUGGAUUUUGUGACGGGUUUGCCGAAGACUUUCAGGAAGAAUGAUGCCAUAUGGGUGGUGGUGGACCGGUUGACCAAAUCGGCACACUUUUUGGCUAUCCAUGAGGGUUACUCGAUGGAUAGAUUGGCACAUAUCUUUCAACAGGAGAUUAUUAAACUUCAUGGUACUCCGGUGUCUAUUGUUUCAGAUCGGGACCCACGGUUCACUUCAAGGUUUUGGAAAGGGUUUCAACGAGCUUGGGGCACUCGGCUCAACUUCAGUACUUCUUUCCAUCCGCAAACUGAUGGGCAAUCCGAGAGGACUAUUCAGACAUUAGAGGAUAUGUUGAGGUCUUGUGCACUUGAGUGGUCGGGUAAUUGGGAUGAUUACUUGAGCCUAGUUGAGUUUGCUUACAACAACAGCUGGCAUGCAAGUAUUGGAAUGGCUCCGUUUGAGGCAUUGUAUGGUAGGAAAUGUCGGGCACCAACUUGUUGGGAUGAGGUUGGAGAAAGGGCUAUAGAAGGGCCUGAGUUAGUCCAAAUCACUAUGGAGAAGGUAGUGGUGGCUAAAGAGAAAUUGAAGUCGGCUCGAUCACGACAGAAGUGUUAUGCUGAUAAGCAUAGGAGGACUUUAGAGUUUGAACCUAGUGAGCAUGUGUUUCUAAAAGUUUCUCCUUGGAAGGGCAUUCGGCGAUUCGGGUUGAAAGGGAAGCUUAGUCCGCGAUAUAUUGGUCCAUUUGAGAUUUUGGAGAGGGUUGGUGAAGUUGCGUAUCGAUUAGCUUUACCUCCGCAGCUAGCUCAUGUGCACAAUGUGUUCCAUGUGUCGGUGUUGAGAAGUUACAAUUAUCAUCCGUUGCACGUGGUGCAAUAUCCAUUCGAUAAGAUUCGAGAGGAUCUUACUUGUGAGGAACAAGCCGAGGCGAUUUUGGAUCGUCAAGAGAGAAUUAUGAGGAGGAAGACUAUUCCGUUUGUUAAAGUUUUAUGGAGAAAUUAUUCGGAGCGGGAGGCUACAUGGGAGAUGGAGGAGUCUAUUCGAGCGGAGUAUCCGCAUCUCUUUGAAAAUUAGGUGCGUUCCAUCUUUUGAUUCCGGGGACGGAAUCCUUUUAAGGGGUAGGUGAUGUAAUACCCGGAAAAAAAUAAUAAUAAUAAUAAAUAAAUAUUAAAAAAAAUGUUGUUUUAAAACAUAUUAAUUAGACUUUGUCAUUUAUUUUGGGUCAAAUUAGUCAUUUAAUUUGUGUGGGCUAAUAAAUAUUAAUAAGAGAUGAGUAAAUUAAUUUAGUACAAUUUGGUCCUUAAAAUUUAUUUUGAUUUAAUUUAAUUAAAUGUGGGUAAUAUUAAUUUUAUUAUAAUUAGGAGAAUAAAUAAAAUAAUUAAUAAAUAAAUAGUUACUAAAACCUAAUCAUACAUGCACUACAAAUCAGAAAAGAAAAGAAUAGAGGUCGGCGGCUGCGCAGUGAAUAGAGAAGAACCAAUUUUAUUUUUUAUCAGGUUUGUUUUUUUGUUUUUCUUUCUUUUACUACUUUCGGCUAUAUAAUUUUUGUGGCGAUUUGCUUUGUAGACAUGAAUUGUGAUGGCAGUCAAAGUUUCUGAUGUUUAUAUAUACUUUUACUAUUUCUGGCGUUAUAUAUAUAUAUAUAUAUAUAUAUAUAUAUAUAUAUAUAUAUAUAUAUAAAAGAUUGGCUGCAGGUGUUAAUAUAUAUAUAUAGGCAUAUUACCAAGUUGCUGCAUAAUUACGUUAUUAUAUAUAUAGAUAUAUUAGGAGAUUGCAAUCUUGCAGCGUUGCUGCAGGCAAUGUUUUCAAUUUUUAUUUUAUUAUAUAUAUAUAUAUAUAUAUAUUAUAUUUUAAUAAAUAUUUAGCCAUGAAAUUUAUAAUUCAAAAUUGGUAAAUCAAAUUGAAGUUAUGUAUAUUAAUUUAAAUUAAUUAAUUUUGCCGGCAUAAUUAUAAAAGUUCUUAUUAAAAAAUUAAAUAAUAUUAUGUUUGUAACGACUAGAUUUGUAAUAAAAUUUAUUUUAUUAUUCUAUUAUUAGAUCGGACGGAAGGAAUUUAAUGAACUAUAUUGGAAUAAUAAUUUUGGGUAUUACAUUGCUUAAUCCAGGUACGGAUUCCGUACUUUUCCAGCAAGACUCUUUUGUUUUUAAUUCGUUCGUUUCGUUAUUCAUUUCGAAAUCUAGUAUUGUCUCUCAUAAUUGUUCCUUGUCAAUUUAUUGUGAUAAAUUUAUUUUGGCGUUGUAUUAGAACUCACAUUGUACUCUUUAGACUAGUGUGUCAUGUCUAAAUUUUAUUUUUAUAUUUAUAGUGAUGUACAUGUUAGUAUAUUUUAGAGACUUGUGUUGACGAUUCGUUCGAUUUAACAUGUACAUGUUAGAACCCCUUUGUGUUGAUAUUUUGUCGCAUGUGUUGUGACAUUAUAUUUUGUUAGAAUACCGUAGGGUAUACCUGAGCUAUAACCACCUGUGGGGGUACCACAGGCAUGUCCUCUUGGCACCGAGGCAUGACACCUUCCGUGGCGGUGUGAUCAGUCCACGGCGUCUCCGUUUUGUGCUCCGGUGGGAGUUGGCCAUUUGGUGUUUUGUUGUGGGAGGCGUAUGGGUCGACCCUAGUUUUCUGUUCUGUUCUGUUCUGCGGAUUGGUGAUGUUUGUGCCAAACACGCCUUCCGAUUUUGCACGCAUCUGGAUUGCGCAGUCCGAUGUGUGAUUGCCUGUGUGGCAUUAUUUGACUUGCCUGUGUGGCAAGGUAUAUUACUAUUUAUUCUGAGCUCGGUAUGAAAUAACACCCAGCCAUCUGAUUCAGCCUAUUAUUUCGUUGUGUUAGUUUUGUUCGUUUCGUUUCAGUUCGUUCGUUUCAUUUCAUUUAAUUGAGUUAGUUAUUUCGGUUCAUUAGUUGUAUUCUAUAUCCGUACUGGGCAUUUGGCUCAUGCUGUGUUUUUCUUUCGGCAGGUAAUCAGGGGAAUCAAGGGCAAGUGUGAUGAGAGCUCCAUUCAUUCCAAUCAUUUAUAGAUAUUCUGUUUAGACUUGAUGUGUCAGUUUACUUAGAAUUGUAAUAAUUAUUUUCGAUUGUGGUUUGAGACAGUUUGAGAUUUAUUAUGGUUGACUGGUGGUAUUAUCAGUUAUUAAGACUAUUCUUUUGUGGCUUUGAACCUUGCUAUUAAAU
rnacentral:lncRNA from 1 species